rnacentral:rRNA from 1 species
AUUGAACGCUUGCGGCAGGCCUAACACAUGCAAGUCGAACGAGUGGCGGACGGGUGAGUAAUGUCUGGGAAACUGCCCGAUGGAGGGGGAUAACUACUGGCAACGGUAGCUAAUACCGCAUACCAUCGGAUGUGCCCAUAUGGGAUUAGCUAGUGGGGGGGGUAACGGCUCACCUAGGCGACGAUCCCUACCUGGUCGGAGAGGAUGACCAGCCACACGGGAACGGAGACACGGUCAAGACGCGUACGGGAGGCAGAAGUGGGGAAUAUUGCAAAAUGGGCGCAAGCCUGAUGAAGCCAUGACGCGUGUAGGAAGAAGGCCUUCGGGUUGUAAAGUACUUUCAGCGAGGAGGCGUUACUCGCAGAAGAAGCACCGGCUAACUCCGUGCCAGCAGCCGCGGUAAUAC